rnacentral:rRNA from 1 species
UACGGAGGGUGCAAACGUUGCUCGGAAUCAUUGGGCGUAAAGCGCACGUAGGCGGGCUGUUAAGUCGGAUGUGAAAGCCCUCGGCUUAACCGAGGAAGUGCAUACGAAACUGGCAGCCUUGAGUACAGAAGAGGGUCGCGGAAUUCCCGGUGUAGAGGUGAAAUUCGUAGAUAUCGGGAGGAACACCAGUGGCGAAGGCGGCGACCUGGGCUGAUACUGACGCUGAGGUGCGAAAGCGUGGGGAGCAAACAGG